rnacentral:rRNA from 1 species
AGUGAACGCUGGCGGUAGGCCUAACACAUGCAAGUCGAACGGCAGCACAGUAAGAGCUUGCUCUUACGGGUGGCGAGUGGCGGACGGGUGAGGAAUACAUCGGAAUCUACUUUUUCGUGGGGGAUAACGUAGGGAAACUUACGCUAAUACCGCAUACGACCUACGGGUGAAAGCAGGGGAUCUUUGGACCUUGCGCGAUUGAAUGAGCCGAUUCGGGAUUAGCUAGUUGGCGGGGUAAAGGCCCACCAAGGCGACGAUCCGUAGCUGGUCUGAGAGGAUGAUCCGCCACACUGGAACUGAGACACGGUCCAGACUCCUGCGGGAGGCACCAGUGGGGAAUAUUGGGCAAUGGGCGCAAGCCUGAUCCAGCCAUACCGCGUGGGUGAUGAAGGCCUUCGGGUUGUAAAGCCCUUUUGUUGGGAAAGAAAAGCAGCAGGUUAAUACCCCGCUGUUCUGACGGUACCCAAAGAAUAAGCACCGGCUAACUUCGUG